UUUUUUGGAAUGUUGGAUUAUUUAUCCGCUUUGUAUACGAAAAUUUCCGUCUGUAAGAUUUGGUUGCGAUAUUGUUUGCUGGCUAAGUGGCUAUGUAGAAUAGUUUGGUGGUGUGUAGAGACGACUUGCACACCUUGUAGACUAAUUUAUUUGCAAUGUGGAUUUUUUCACAUUUUAGAACUGUUUAACAUCGUGGACUCUUGUUCGCGAGUGGACUCAUUUGUUCCCUUUAAAUAAUAGUUUGUCCAGUUUGUUAAUUUAUUAUUCAGCAAUAUCUGGAUUGUUCCCUCAUGAAUAAUAUUUUUGUUGUAUCUGGAUUAAAACUAGAAAGGAAAAAAAAUCCAUGUACUGUCUUCAUUUCCACCAGGAUUUUGUUACGUGAAGGCGAAGCCUACCUAAUAGCCUUUGCCCAAGCAGGCUCGGCCCGCGAACCAGUAUGUUUGUGGCGGCCCAAGCAACACAGAAAUCGUUGGGCUGAAAAAACAAAAACUGCUUUGAUGCCGGCCCAGUGAAGCGCAAGAUAAAAUUUCGGAAUUCCUAAUUUUGUCCGAGUCAAGCUGAGGAAAAAGAAAGACCUUGUUGACGGGUCUUAACGUGCCGAGGCAACAACUUGCCCACUGGAGCGCAGAGCACGUGCACAUCGCCCGCUGGCCCGUGUCCUCGCCUCGCCACAUGCACGGGCUGGACGGCGAGGUCGCGUGCCUGCCACCUUCCCUCCCGCUCCCGGUAUCGGAGGCCGCGCCGCUCCGCUGGCAAGGAAGCACGGUGCAACCUACCACCUC
rnacentral:lncRNA from 1 species